CCCUUAGAUGUUCUGGGCCGCACGCGCGCUACACUGUUCGACGCAGCGAGUCUUAACCUUGACCGAAAGGUUUGGGUAAUCUUCAGCAAAGUCGAACGUGAUGGGGAUCGAUCAUUGCAAUUAUUGAUCGUGAACGAGGAAUUCCUAGUAAGUGCAAGUCAUCAGCUUGCGCUGAUUACGUCCCUGCCCUUUUUACACACCGCCCGUCGCUACUACCGAUUGAAUGGUUUAGUGAGAUCUCUGGAUUGACGCUGGCUAGGGGGCGACCCUUGGCCAGACUGUUGAGAAACUGCUCAAACUUGAUCAUUUAGAGGAAGUAAAAGUCGUAACA
rnacentral:rRNA from 1 species